CAGCAGCCGCGGUAAUACGAAGGGUGCAAGCGUUACUCGGAAUUACUGGGCGUAAAGCGUGCGUAGGUGGUGGUUUAAGUCCGUUGUGAAAGCCCUGGGCUCAACCUGGGAAUUGCAGUGGAUACUGGGUCACUAGAGUGUGGUAGAGGAUAGUGGAAUUUCCGGUGUAGCAGUGAAAUGCGUAGAGAUCGGAAGGAACAUCUGUGGCGAAGGCGACUAUCUGGGCCAACACUGACACUGAGGCACGAAAGCGUGGGGAGCAAACAGGAUUAGAUACCCCCGUAGUCCCUGUUUCUUAUAA
rnacentral:rRNA from 1 species